CUACGGGCGGCAGCAGUGGGGAAUAUUGCACAAUGGGGGGAACCCUGAUGCAGCAACGCCGCGUGGAGGAUGACGCAUUUCGGUGUGUAAACUCCUUUUAUAUGUCAAGAAAAUGACGGUAGCAUAUGAAUAAGCACCGGCUAACUCCGUGGCCAGCAGCCGCGGUAAUACGGAGGGUGCAAGCGUUGCUCGGAAUCACUGGGCGUAAAGGACGCGUAGGCGGGUUGGAAAGUCAGGUGUGAAAUCCUACAGCUUAACUGUAGAACUGCACUUGAAACUUCUAAUCUAGAGUAUGGGAGGGGGAGAUGGAAUUAGUGGUGUAGGGGUAAAAUCCGUAGAUAUCACUAGGAAUACCUAAAGCGAAGGCGAUCUCCUGGAACAUUACUGACGCUAAGGCGUGAAAGCGUGGGGAGCAAACAGGAUUAGAUACCCUAGUAGUC
rnacentral:rRNA from 1 species